rnacentral:lncRNA from 1 species
AUAUUCCACCUAAGAAAGAAUUAAUUAAAAGUGAAACCCAGCUUUCUCUGCUACAUCACAGGCCUGUACAAACCAGUCACUAAAUAUGCUGCCUGCCUGCUGAGAUGAAAUGCUUCUCACGUUAUCUGCCUUACAUCUUCAGACCUCCGAACACCAUCCUGUCCUCCAGCUGCCACGCAGAAGCAUUUACAUGAAACACGCCAUCUGAAAUUCUGAAAACUAUAGCCAGCUGAUGAUUUCUUAAUAAGGAAAAAAACAACCUUCCUGUUAUCCAGAUUUGUACAUAUUCAUUCGUCUGAUU